rnacentral:rRNA from 1 species
GGGCGCAAGCCCGACCUCCAACCCCAUGUAAUUCAUACCAUGUUGCCUCGGGGGCGACCCGGCCCCUUUGGGCGUCGGGGCUCCCGGUGGACCUAUAACACUGCAUCUGUGCGUCUGAGUGAUCAAUCAAUCAAUUAAAACUUUCAACAACGGAUCUCUUGGUUCUGGCAUCGAUGAAGAACGCAGCGAAAUGCGAUAAGUAAUGUGAAUUGCAGAAUUCAGUGAAUCAUCGAAUCUUUGAACGCACAUUGCGCCCCUCGGUAUUCCGGGGGGCAUGCCUGUUCGAGCGUCAUUACACCACUCAAGCCUGGCUUGGUAUUGGGCACCGCGGUCCGGCCGCGCGCCCUAAUGUCUCCGGCUGAGCCGUCUGUUCUCCAGCGUUGUGGUCAUAUCAUCCGCUGCCGGGACACGACGGUUCAUCGCCGCUAAACCCUUCUUCUUAAGGUUGACCUCGGAUCAGGUAGGGAUACCCGC